AUUUUUUCUCUACUUCCGGUAAGAAGUAAACAUCAGAGUUUGCUGUCAAAUUGUGUGGAACACCACUCUGUUCGACGAAUUACUGGUUAUUGUCGAGUGAAUCGUGCAUGAUCAAAGUUCAUACGUGCUACUAGAAGAAACAAGUUUUUUACUGUUGAAAGUGUUGCUAUACUAUUUAUCUGGCGUUUACUGGAUUUCAUCAUGAGUGAUGAGGAGAAGUGUGUUAUUUGCGACGUGAAAGACGAACGUAAAAUAGCAACAUUGGGUGAAAAAGGGUGUACAGAGUUUAUUUCUGCAGCCAAAAAUAAAGCUCAUGGGUUGAAAGGGAAACAAACCCUCUUGAAUGGGGAUGGUACAAACGUGGUGAUAAACUUAUUCCUUGGCACAGGUUGCUCUAAUGGAAUGGCUGUAGAUGUCAUGACAUUAACUUAACUGACUUUUAUAAUCUUGAGAGAGCAAUGAAAGGUUUUUCCAACUAUUGAAUUUACAGUUAACAUGUUUUAAAGAACCAUGUCUUAUUACUAAGGACAACAUAUUAACUUUAUUAUAGAGCAUAAUUUGACAGUAUAUCGCAUCGCAAAGUUUUGUCCUCACAGUGCUUUUAUUUUUGUACAUUACGGCUUUGUGUACAUUUGCUGUUAGCUGAAAAUUGUAGUUUAGUGUCGUUGCUUUGUGUACAUUUGCUGUUAGCUGAAAAUUGUAGUUAAGUGUCGAUUUUAAAACAGUUUUAACAUUUUACUGUGGUGACCUUUUCUAUAUAUACUGUAGUACAGUCACUGUUGAUCUGGGAUUCUUUUCCUUAAUGUUUUUUUUUUUAUUAUACUGUUGUUGAUAUUAAUAUAACAUUUGUUACAUUUAGUGCGAGUUUCAAGGAAAUAGUUUAAAGAUAUUGCAUGCACGUUUUAUUGAUGGGUGGACUCGCCCGCUUAGCUCAUUAGGGAGAGCACCGAUCUACGGAUCGCGGGGUCGUGAAUUGGAUCCUCGGGCGGGUCGUAUGUUCUCCUUGACGAUUUGAUAAGAUAUUGUGUUGAAAUAAUUCAUCCUCCACCUCUGAUUCAUGUUGGGAAGUUUGCAGUUACUUGCGGAGAACAGGUUUGUACUGGUACAGAAUCCAGGAACACUGGUUAGGUUAACUGACCGCCGUUACAUAACUGAAAUACUGUUGAAAAAAUGGCGUUAAACCCAACACAAAUAAAACUGAUGGGUGGGGUAAAUCUAUAGUGUAAAUUAAUGCAUUUAUUAGUAAAAGUUACAACAUAGUUUAGUAUCAGCUUUAAUUAAAUGAUAUUUUAUAUAAUCAAUGCUUAUGAUUGAAGAAAUAAACCAACGCAUAGGUUUAAGCUAAAGUAUGUUACCUAAUGAAUGAACCUCUUGAUUCGUCUGAAUCAUUCAAUUUCAAUGAGGGUGACCUUCAUAAUCUCAUUUUUUUUACAUUUUCCAAUGGGAA